rnacentral:rRNA from 1 species
UACGGAGGGUGCGAGCGUUAAUCGGAAUAACUGGGCGUAAAGGGCACGCAGGCGGGUUUGUAAGUGAGAUGUGAAAUCCCCGGGCUUAACCUGGGAAUAGCAUUUCAGACUGGGAGUCUUGAGUACUGUAGGGAGGGGUAGAAUUCCACGUGUAGCGGUGAAAUGCGUAGAGAUGUGGAGGAAUACCGAAGGCGAAGGCAGCCUCUUGGGAAUGAACUGACGCUGAUGUGCGAAAGCGUGGGGAGCAAACAGG